rnacentral:lncRNA from 1 species
ACAAAUUACUUUGCUUGAAAUAUUCAAAUGCACACCCUCAUUGACUAGAGAUUCAAAGAAGAAAACAUGUCUAGUAAAUAAUGAAAACAAUGUAUUGAUAAAGAAACCAACCAAGAUUUGAUCAAAGUCUCUCAACAUAUAUAUACACACACAUCAAUGCAUUAUUGAUUGUUGUAUUAAACACUUAAACAUCACAAGCACAUGAAUCAUGGAUCUAAGAGAAAUGGAGCUACAAACACAUUUAUCUAUCAUACCCAAGGAAAUUAUCACUUGUUGUACAAGGUAAUGAAGAAAUGGAGCUACAGAACAACUUAGGGAUAAAAGUUUUAAAACCUUACUGUCAAUUCUUAAACGAUGCAAUAUCAAACUCUCUUUAUGUUGCAAGGAUCGAUGUCACAUCCCGACCCUUAUAUUUUUUACCUUAUUUACUAGCUUGGUUAUAAUAAGAAUUUUACCGUCUCUGUCAUCGAGGUAAUAGUUUAAUUGGUCCCUAGAGGGGUUUUAGGGACGGUUAUGUGCGGAGGAUUAUUUGUAGGAGGAAAUUACGGCGACGGUAAAAAUGGUAAAUUUUAGCUAGUAAAAGGUAAUUUUUAUUCGGGUAUUAUUUUUUCGGGGUGUUUUAUUUUGGAUUUGGGUUGUAUAAGAGUGUUGGACCGGGCCAAGAGGUGGUGAAAGCCCAGCCCUCUCUUUUCCCUUUCUCUUCUCUCCCUCCCGGCCUCAUCCCCGAGCUCUCCCGACCAGGAAACUUUUCGGCCGCCGUCCGCCGCCGUCCGGCCGAGAUAGGAGGCGUGCUUGGUGUCGAUUUGAAGCUUGGAGCAUCCUCUACAAGUUUAGAUAGGUGGCAGCCCAUGUUAAGCCACCGUGAAGGAGAAAUCAUGCCGAAAAGCCGCUGCUGUGCGUGGCGGGGUUUUCGCCGAAAAAUCCUUUUUCCGGCCACCAUAGCCGGAGCUGUUGGUAUCAUUUGGACGCUCUCUCUUCCAGCAGCAAACCCCUAAAAGGAUUCAUCCUAACUCGAGCUAGGUAAGGAGAAUCGGGUGUUUGAAUUUCCUAGGGUUUUCUUGAUAUGUUUGGUUUCGAUUACUCUAUUUAGGCUUGAAAUUGGACUUAGUGAUAAUUAUGAAAGUUGUUUACGAUGUUGAGAGGAAGAUGCUGUUAAAUUUUCAUAGGAAUUGGAGGUCGCCGGAAUCGGCCUCCGGCCGCCGCUGCCGGCAGAGCCGGCGUCGGCGCCGCCGUUGUUUGGGAGUUUUGUAUAGUUUUAAAUGUGAAAUAUUAAGGGGAGUAUAUUGAUGUAAAUUAUGGAAUUUUUGGAUGAGUUUUUGUUAGGUUUGUGAAUCUCUGAAGUUUGGUAAUUUUGGCGGAUUAAUAAGAUAGAAUCCCGCCGUUGGAUUAAAGUCGUAUAAUCUGUGGAAGGGUGUAGUUAAGGUUGCUGGUUUUAAUGUUGAGGUGUGGACCGUAUCGAAGUUAGGCAAUGAUGAGCGUGAAUAUGGCUCUCGGUUAAUUUUGCCUAUUUUGUUUAAAUAUUGGAUUUUUAGUUGGGAAAUUAAUUUUAUAUUUGUGCCAGGGUUCGAGGAAACCUCUCUGGAGUGGCGAUUUAGAUUUGGUCGGGCUUAUGCCUAGAGUUGCGAGUGGACUUUUGUUUUAAAUAAAAUGCAUGCUAUAGUUCAUAGAUGAACAAUUAUUGUUAUGGAGCAUUUUGACGUCAUUUUAUUUUGACGAUUUUAUUUCUCUUGGAGAGUUACCGAAAAUGGGAUUUUCGGUGAAUAUAAAUAUGUAUUUAUGAGGAGAGUAUGUAUAAAAAUGCUAGCUAGCCCUAUGUGUCUGUCCACCUUAAUGGCGUAGCAUAUAGCCGCAUUAUGGUAUGACGUGAGCGUUGGACGCGAGCGUAGUAGCCCUAUAUGAGUGUUUAAUUCAUAUAGGGGGUAUGGGCACAUAUUUAUACACCCGUCUGUCCACUUUAAUGGCAUAGUGUAGCACCACAUUAAGGCGUGACGUGAGCGUUGGACGCGAGCGUAGUAGCCCUAUAUAGACCCAUGAAUUUAUAUAGGGAGUAUGGACGUGUGUAAAUACAUACAUAUAUUAUAGAGCCUGAGAGGCUCGACAUUUAUGAGAUAAAAGUUUUAUCGCUUGCAGCAUGCAUUCGAUUUUCUUUGGAAAUUGAAAUGGGGAAGCAUAAAUAUUUUUAUUAGUUUAUUUUUGUCCACUCACUCUAACGUUGUUAAGUGUUUUCCCCUGGGCAUUUCGUUUUAAAAAUGCCCAGCUUGCAAGUUAGCUUAGUCAAGGUCGGGAGUACAUGGAGAUGAGGCAUAGUCAUCAUAUAGCUUCCGCUUGUUAAUUUAUUUUGUUUCCUUUCUUCUUGUUAGAGUUGCUCUGAACCUAUAAUUGGUUGGAUAUGAGAUUUGUUUAGAUUAGUAAAUUUUGGAUGGUGUUGUGAUUUGGGGAGCACGAAGGCUCCAGGAGUAGAGGAUAUUAAAUGGAUUCUUUUGAAGUGUAUGCAGGUAUUAUUAGAAAGGGUUGUCCAUUUUCAAAAGAGGUUAUGCCGAAAUUUUUUUUUUUUUUUUUCGGUAAACUUUCCUUUGAGGUGGUCCCCGCAGGAUUUACUUUGGGUUUCACUACAAAAAUUAAUUCGAUUAGCCACGGCGUGAUGUCGUCGCCAAAAGUCACUUUGUCGUCACGAAAGGGCAAUGGCGACGGCACGGCGACGGCAUUUCUCCCGUUGCCUUUGGUGGCGUCACCAUUGCUCCAGGCGACGGCAACGAGCCGUCGCCAACUUUUUCGCGACGGCAUGCAGCAGCAGAAAAGGUCGUCGCUAAUUUGGCUACGGCAAGUGGCGACAACCCAGACCGUCGCGAAUGCCAUUUUAGCCAUGGCUUUUUGCCGUCGCCAAUGAUUUACUUGAAUUAAAAAAAAUGUAAAAAAAAUUUUGAUUAAAUAUUUAUAACAGAAUAUGUUGCAUUUAAUACUUUAUCAUGAAUGUUACAAAAUAAAUGAAUUUAUGUACAAGUUUUUACUAGUACAAAGUAGUUUUCUCCUACUUGAUAAGCUUUGGACCGAUAAUCCAAAAUAAGCUCUAUAAUUAUAUUCCUCCACUUCAGAUAACUUUGAGCCAGAUCCUUCAUCAAUACCUGUAUUCAAAGUCAAAACUAAAUUACUCCAACUCUAAUUUUAGAUCUAAGUAUGUCUAAGAGUAAAGAUGAUGCAGAUACGAACAUUAAUGGAGAAAGUUUACAAGCUUUGAAAAUGAAAACCAUGCUUAUAAUUAGGAUCAUUAAGUCAAGAACAGCAAGCCUUUAGCCAAACAUUUUCCAAUAAAAAAAAAAAAAACAUUAUAGUACUUAAUAGCACAUAUGGAUAAAAAUGUAGAUUAACAUGUAAAUAGUUGACAUGCAAUCAUGUAAAUACAUGAAAAUAGUGUGCAUGGCUUCCAAAUGCUUACCUCAAGUUGUUCAUGAUGCAGCCACUUCUCCUCUUCUACAUGCAACCCCAAUGCUUCAGCAAUCCAUACACUACUGCAAAUAACACAGAAAAUAGUUUCAAGUUCAAUAGUUUCAAAUUCAGAAGACAGAACCUAAUAGUUUCAAGCACUUAAUAGGGUAGCUAAAAAUUAAGAAAGACCAUCAUUCUAAGUGUGGGAAACAAUACUUACAGCAGCUUUCCUAACAACUUUGGAUAAUGGCAAUAUCUUCUACCGAUCCAUCAUUAAUUUCUUCUUCAUGUAAACCUUCAUGCAAUGCAUUUGACUGCAAUAACUCACUUGUCCACUGUUGCUCAAGAACAACCAUCGACACAACCUCUUUCAUGAAGUUUUUAUUACCUGGAUUUUUGCAAUCCAUGAAGGUUUUACAGAUAUGCACAGAAGGGAAUAGAUCAUCAAAGGACUACGUUAACAACCAACAGACUCUGCUGCUAUAACUUUUUAAGCUCACACAUCAAUUGAAGUCAUUUGUUUCAAAUGUAUAUACAUGACUAUAAAAUGAUUAGAGAAAUGCAGUAAUUUGCUUCAUAGUUGCUAUUUUAGUGUUCAAAUCUAUGUAUCAGAUUAAUGUUUGCAAGUCAUAUUAACAAUAAGGGUUAAUAGUGAUUCCGAAGAUGAUGAGCAGAAUAAUAGGUAUGACACAGCUGAACAGUGCAUCAAGACCAUGAAUGAGACCAUGCAAGAUUGGCAUAACAGAAGCUGGCAACAAGAACCUCUUCAGCACCUAGAAAAUGAUCUCUUUGAUUAUAAAUAGCAAAUUAGCAAGGAUAUGGUUACCAAAUUCCUCAACAAUCAAUCCUUACAUUAACCAUGGCCUUGAUGAGUUAUUUUGCAGUACUAAUGCUAGCACUUGCCCUGACCACUACUUCUGAAAGGGCCAUAGCAGGUGAUCCUGAUAUCGUUUCUGACUUUAUAAUGCUGCCAAAUAACACCAAAGUUGAUGGAAAGUAUUUCACUUACACUAAAUUAUGUGGAAUAUUUGAAAGAUUUCCUGAAACCUUUAAAGUCACAAAAGCUUCAUCAAAUCGAUCAAUUAGUAACACAAAAGAGACAAUAUGCAGUAUUUACACAAAUUAAUUGAUGACCACUCAGACAAAAAAAAGAGAGCAAAUAUAAUGAAUCAUAGUAAUACUGAGAAAUUAAACACCUUCCUUUGCACUGUUUUCCCAAGAAAUAUAAACUUAAACUAGAAUUGUGAACAUUCAGAACCAACAUAGAGGCAGUUCAAACAAAUACACCCUUUAAUCUUUUGAAAACCAGAUACAAGACUACUACGUAUAUUAAAACACAGCUUUCAUGUAGAUAUAAUUAGUACUCCUGAUUAAUGGACUAAACCAUAAAUGACAAAACAAAAUCCAUCAAACUUCAAUUAACAAAAAGUCUGGAAACAACACGAAACAGAAUUGAUAAUAGACUUACUGCAACAUCAAAACAAAUAAUAAAAAGAUUACAAUCUAAUUUGAAGAUAAUGCCCAGUCCAAACUUCAUGAUAUGAACAAAUUGAACAAUGAGGAUAAGCAAACUGAAAAGAGUAGAGAUCAUUGUGAACAACAAAUUGAAAUGAACAGAGAACAUUGUGAACUUACAUUGAAGCUUGUUGUCCAUAUACCUGUGGAAACAAAGAAGAAGAACAGAAAAAUCGAAUCGAUUAGAAUCUAAUUCAUAAAAAUAGAGCGACGAAGAUAAAAUUGAACCGCAAAAAUAGAGCAGAAGAGAGAGAGAAAGAGGCCUUAGCUGGCGACGGCACGUGCAGCGGCGUUCUAGGCGUUGGAGGCGAUGUUGAUCUCACCCAUGGUGGUCGUUGGAAGUCGAGGCACCUGGGUUGUAACGCCUGGCCUCCUUUGGGCUCGAUGGUGACGGCGACGAGGGAGGAAGAUGACCGGAAGUGAGCUUUGGCUGGGCAAAGGCAGCCGGGCUUGGGUGGUCGCAUAAGGUGGCUAGAUGCGUUUCCUACCGUCAAACGGGUUGGGCUUUGAACAGGUUAGGCUCGGUGUCGUUUGGUGUGGGUGGUGAUAAGAGGCGGUGGCCGGAGAUGAAGUCUCCGGCGCUGGCAAUCUAAGGGAGGAGAAAGAGAUAUCGGGGGAUAGAGUGUGAGAAAGAGGGAUAAGGAGAGAAGAAAGAGUCUUGUGGGCUGCUGGCAUGGGAUCUAGGUUUCUUAUUACCAUUUUAUUAAUAUUUUAGUUUUUGACCACGGCGGUAACAUGGCGUCGCAAAUAUCAGAUUAUUUUGCCACGGUGUUCGUCUGCCGUCGCAAAUAUCAAAUUUUUUUGCUACGGCCUGAAGGUGCCGUCGCAAAGUGGUGUAACGUUAGCGACGGCAAACACGCCGUCGCUGAGCCAUUGCAAAUCUUAGACCAACGGCGACAGCAAAGCUUGGCCGUGGCAAACUGUGGUGGCUAACUGAAUUCUUUUUUGUAGUGUUUCAAGGUAAAAUUCGGGGUGGGUCCUGACAGGUGGUAUCAGAGCAUUAGGUUAUUCGUUUCCUUUCUUUUUUUUAGUACUACCUUAUAUUCUUGGUCGCACUUAGUGUCUAUAGAGUGAUGGUCCGACCGCGGCGGAUCUAUUAGCAUUAUAUGCUUUAGACACUAUGUGUUGAUUAGGUUUGUGAUGUAGUUGUUCUUCUUUUAUUUAUGGAUAAUAGUGUGCCAUAAAUGUCUACAUCUCUAAGACAAUGCCUCCGUACGCCGACCUCUUGAGUGUUCAUCCUUCGAGUUUUGAAAAGGUGUAUAGUUUGCACCUAUUCCAAGGUUCAUUAAUUUAAUAUCUUUGAUAUUAAUGGUUGGAGUUGAUUUGCGAGUGGGGAACGAAAAAGCUUGUUAGUAUUCCUUUCAGGUAUCCAAUGAUUGAUUGGGUUAAGAUUAAGGUUUCAGAUUAAGAUGCUAAGGUGAGCAUCUUGUGCAAAUCUGUUGGGUGAAAUGUUGAUGAUUAAUGCCUUGGAGUUGUCCAUUUUUAGUGGGCAAGAUUGGAGUCAAAAAUUGAUUGAUGGGAGAUUUUGGUAUUGAGUUACUUGACUUUUGAGAGAGUCGAGUUGGAAGGAAAGUUCGAAGUAGUGGUGUAUUCUAUUGAUGUAAAAGUUAGUUAAAAUGAUGAGGUGAGGUAUCCAAUGGUAAUUCAAAGGGAUACCUAUAUGAGUUGUUGAGGACCCUAGUCUUGGGUUAAAUAAGGUUUUAGGGAAUUUGUGGCUAGUGAUUGGGUGGUAAGGCAUUGCUGCAUAAAGAGCUAAAUGUCAAUUUAGAUAAGUCAUGAGUGAAGGCCAUUUUGCCGACAAUUUUAUCCGCAACAUAAAUCAAUUGGGAACAUGUUGGGAUAAUUUUGGUUGUGGCGGUAUAUGUUCUGGUUUCUGUAGUACUAAUUGCGGAUAUGUUUCUAUCCUUAGAGCAUCUUUUUUAAGAUGGUAGCGGUAUUAUAUUUUGAAAAUGAUGGAUGAUAGUAAUCGAUGAAUAGUAAGAUUUCUGAUGAUUUUGGUCUAUAUUGUGGAUUAGUUGAAGUUUGUUAAAGCACUAAGUAGAAUGACUUUGAUUGUUGGUUUUACAAAAGUCAUUGGUCAGUGCGUUGUGACAACUUCUUGUUGUGCCGCAGUCGGGGAAUUUUAAAAAUUGAUUGGUGGCACUAAAUGUUUUGAGUUUCAAGCAAGUUUGGAAUCGUGGAGUGAGGUGUCAGUUAUAUUAUUUUAAUCAUGGGGCCAGUAUGGAUUCUUUCCGAAUUCCAGGUGUUGAAGUUUGGCUUCCAAAUUUGUUAAGUGUUUGGGAAGAUGAUAAUGUAAAUGGAAUUGAAAAGUAAUGGUGGAGUGAGAGUAGGAUGGUUGUGGUCACUCCAGUUUUAUGACAACACCUGGUGAAUUUAAUAUGCGUUGUCAUGGGUAUUCUAUAGCAGUUGUGUGGAGUUAGUGGAAGUGGUAGCAGUGGAAUAAAACCCACUGGAUCAUAGAGCAAGAGUGCGUGGGUGUCCAAAGUAAUUUUUUAAGCAAUGUCAUUCCGGGUGGUUGAUUUAAGUCUUGACUUUAUGAUCGAAGUUGGUUAUUGACAUCACUUCGUUCGCAAUGGGUGACUAGCUACGACACAAUAAUGGGAGGAUCUGUUCUCACCUUAUUUCUAAUUCGGUGAGAUGGAGUAAAGUUUUGGUUAUGGUGUGUGUGGGAAUAUUUAAAUUAUUCCUACUGUAAUUUUUGGGUAGCAUCCUCAGAGCUUGAAAUUAUGGAAUGCGAAUUCAACGCUUCGAAUUGAAGGGUAGAGAUUCUGGUUAUUUUGUUGAAGUUUCGAGGUAAAUAAUAAAUUGGUAGUUGUGUCGUAGUCAUGGAUCCGGAAUAAAUCCAGUGGUGAUCCCAAGUGAGCUGGAGUUCAUUUAAGCGAUGAGUCUUGAUGCCGUAAAUCCUAUGUGGUAGUUUGAGAGUUGCAUGGUGAUGUUGAUUUUGAUGGUUUGUGUCGUUAUAGGUAUAUUUCAUGAUGUAGCAUUAUGGAAGAGGGUUUUCCCCUGUUGACUCAAGAAGCUUUUCUAGUCAAGGUUUAUUAAGAGUUGCGUGUUGUGGUUAGUAGAGAUAUUGGUAAGUCGAUCGAUGUCUUUUCUUGAGAUCGUAUUGUGGUGGAACCACUUGCUAAUCCAGGUUUGUUUUGGAAGGUCAUCGCUAUCCGAAUGUGAGUUCAUCCGUCGAUAUCUGGGUGAGUAGUUGAAACCACUAUUAAAUUUUGGUUUCUAGUUCAUAUUCGAAUCGGGUUAGUUGUGAAGCUUUUAAGUUCGAAGUUGGGGGACUUAUCUUUCAUAUGCUUUAAAUUAUUUCUUUUGGAGCUUGAGUUGAGUUUAGCCAUGAGUUUUGGCUUUUUCUUGAUUAUAUGGUUUUCGUUAGUUGGUGAGCCACAAAGUGUAGUAGUGGGCCUGUUCGGAAAUUAAUUUCUAUAUUUGAUGGUGAUCUUGUUGCUACGAGCUCGGUUUUUCGGAGAAUCUUUUUUGGUGGGAGCCGUGGCGCCUAGAAUAUGUAGAAGACGUGAGACUAUCUGAUUUUUAGAUCGUCUUCUGCUAUCAGAUUAAUUAUUAUUGGAGGUAGAAAAGAAGUGUGUUUGUCGAGUUCAAAGGUUUUGGUAUUUAGAAUCAUUCUUAUAAAACGGCUAAAGUGAGCCGUGUGCUUUUAAUUAUUGAAUUUGGGGUCGCGGUUGUACCCGAAUAAGUAGCAUGGCUGGAGAUGUAAAUUUUGUCAAUGCUUAAGGAAGGUGUUCUAUUUAUGUGGAUUUCAACGUCAAGUUAGGCAUCAUGAAUUGGCUGUGCCAAUUUUUCGUGGGCAUAAUUAGUUAGUUUUUGCUUGGCGAGCAAGGAGGAAUAUCCAGUUUCCACAUGAUAGUCAUGUUUCAAAUUAUCUUCUGGUUUGUGGUAAAGAGAAUAGUGGAGAUAGCAGAUUCAGGAGAGAGUUGAUAUUCUCAUGAGCUGCUAGUUUGUGGUGUUUAAAAAAAUAAAAAGGGUAAUGUAAUAGUUUUGGUGAAGAGACCUAAGUGGCGUGGUUUUGAUCUUUUCAUAAUGUUAUUUUGAGAAUCGAGGUUAUCAUAUGUUGGUGGACUAGUCUCUUAGGCAGAGCAAGGUUGUCUUGUGGACUUGCGAGAGCUUUGACUCCGCGAAAGACUCUGUGAAAUGUCUCGGCAUUAGAAGUGAUUGUUGCAGUUCUGCAGUGUGUGCAUCCUUAAAAAUCUUUUCAAUUAGCGGGUCUUAAUUUUGACCCCUAUGAGCAUGUGGGAAUGUGUGAACUUUAGUUUCCUAGCAAGUGGGCUUCAUUGUCGAGCUGUGAGCAGCGUAAUGACAAGGUUGUUACGUGACGUUAAAAGAUUUGAGCCCGAUGGUGAUAGCAAAUUUAUGUGCUUUAUUUGGGCAUUUCCAUUGUUCAGGAAAGAGUGUGCAUACCUACGGGUACUCGUACCCUGGAGCAGGUAUCACUAAACCCACUUACGUGUAAACGUUAGUGGUAGUUCAACGAAGGAUUUAGAGUCUUUGAUAAGAUCUAAAAUAAUUCAGGAUUCAAAUAAAAAUGUUAAAGGAGUCCGAGAUACACUCAAAGCAGCUCGUAGUAGCCAAAAGAGUUAUAAAGAUGUCCGCAUGAAGGACCAUGAGUUUCAAGUGAGUACUUGGGGUGUUUUUCGAAAUUGUCUCCUUGGAAAGGGGUGGUACGUUUUGGUGACGUGAAAAGCUUGGUCUGAGAUUUAUUGGUCCUUAUGGGUUUUAAGAUCAAGUUGGCUCUCUUGCGUAUCAAUUAGUUUUGCCUCCGGAGUUAUCCAAGAUACAUAAUGUGUUUCAUGUAUCCAUGCUUUGCAAGUUUAUUUUCAAUUUCUCUCAUGUGUUGCAAGAGCAGCCGAUUAGUUGGAAAAAGUUUUGACCUAUGAUAAGGAGCCGGUUCAGAUUCUUGACCCAAAGGAGCAAGUGCUUAGAAGCAAAUCAUUUUCCUCUUGUUAAAGUUCUAUGGAGAAGUCAUCAAGUAAAGGAAACUACUUGGGAAUCAGAGGAGCAAAUGAUGCAGCAAUAUCCCUAUCUCUUCGAAUGUCAGGUAUGUAAAUUUCAAGGACGAAAUUUUUAUAAGGAGGGGAGAAUUGUCACAUCCCGACCCUUAUAUUUUUUACCUUAUUUACUAGCUUGGUUAUAAUAAGAAUUUUACCGUCUCCGUCAUCGAGGUAAUAGUUUAAUUGGUCCCUAGAGGGGUUUCGGGGACGGUUAUGUGCGGAGGAUUAUUCGUAUGAGGAAAUUACGGCGACGGUAAAAAUGGUAAAUUUUAGUUAGUAAAAAGGUAAUUUUUAUUCGGGUAUUAUUUUUUCGGGGUGUUUUAUUUUGGAUUUGGGUUGUAUAAGAGUGUUGGACCGGGCCAAGAGGUGGUGAAAGCCCAGCCCUCUCUUUUCCCUUUCUCUUCUCUCCCUCCCGGCCUCAUCCCCGAGCUCUCCCGACCGGGAAACUUUUCGGCCGCCGUCCGCCGCCGUCCGGCGGAGAUAGGAGGCGUGCUUAGUGUUGAUUUGAAGCUUGGAGCAUCCUCUACAAGUUUAGAUAGGUGGUAGCCCGUAUCGCGCCACCGUAAAGGAGAAAUCAUGCCGAAAAGCCGCUGCUAUGCGUGGCGGGGUUUUCGCCGGAAAAUCCUUUUUCCAGCCACCAUAGCCGGAGCUGUUGGUAUCAUUUGGACGCUCUCUCUUCCAGCAGCAAACCCCUAAAAGGAUUCAUCCUAACUCGAGUUAGGUAAGGAGAAUCGGGUGUUUGAAUUUCCUAGGGUUUUCUUGAUAUGUUUGGUUUCGAUUACCCUAUUUAGGCUUGAAAUUGGACUUAGUGAUAGUUAUGAAAGUUGUUUUGGAUGUUGAGAGGAAGAUGCUGUUAAAUUUUCAUAGGAAUUGGAGGUCGCCGAAAUCGGCCUCCGGCCGCUGCUGCCGGCGGAGCCAGCGCCGGCGCCGCCGUUGUUUGGGAGUUUUGUAUAGUUUUAAAUGUGGAAUAUUAAGGGGAGUAUAUUGAUGUAAAUUAUGGAAUUUUUGGAUGAGUUUUGGUUAGGUUUGUGAAUCUCCGAAGUUUGGUAAUUUUGGCAGAUUAAUAAGAUAGAAUCCCGCCGUUGGAUUAAAGUCGUAUAAUCUGUGGAAGGGUGUAGUUAAGGUUGCUGGUUUUAGUGUUGAGGUGUGGACCGUAUCGAAGUUAGGCAAUGAUGAGCGUGAAUAUGGCUCUCGGUUAAUUUUGCCUAUUUUGUUUAAAUAUUGGAUUUUUAGUUGGGAAAUUAAUUUUAUAUUUGUGCCAGGGUUCGAGGAAACCUCUCUGGAGUGGCGAUUUGGAUUUCGUCGGGCUUAUGCCUAGAGUUGUGAGGGGACUUUUGUUUUAAAUAAAAUGCAUGCUAUAGUUCAUAGAUGAACAAUUAUUGUUGUGGAGCAUUUUAACGUCAUUUUAUUUUGACGAUUUUAUUUCUCUUGGAGAGUUACCGAAAAUGGGAUUUUCGGGGAAUAUAAAUAUGUAUUUAUGAGGAGAGUAUGUAUAAAAAUGCUAGCUAGCUGUAUGUGUCUGUCCACCUUAAUGGCGUAGUAUAUAGCCGCAUUAUGGUGUGACGUGAGCGUUGGACGCGAGCGUAGUAGCUCUAUAUGAGUGUUUAAUUCAUAUAGGGGGUAUGGGCACAUAUUUAUACACCCGUCUGUCCAUUUUAAUGGCGUAGUGUAGCACCGCAUUAAGGCGUGACGUGAGCGUUGGACGCGAGCGUAGUAGCCCUAUAUAGACCCAUGCAUUUAUAUAGGGAGUAUGGACGUGUGUAAAUACAUACAUAUAUUAUAGAGCCUGUGAGGCUCGACAUUUAUGAGAUAAAAGUUUUAUCGCUUGCAGCAUGCAUUCGAUUUUCUUUGGAAAUUGAAAUUGGAAAGCAUAAAUAUUUUUAUUAAUUUAUUUUUGUCCCCUCACUCUAACGUUGUUAAGUGUUUUCCCCUGGGCCUUUCGUUUUAAAAAUGCCCAGCUUGCAGGUUAGCUUAGUCAAGGUCGGGCGUACAUGGAGAUGAGGCAUAGUCAUCAUAUGGCUUCCGCUUGUUAAUUUAUUUUGUUUCCUUUCUUCUUAUUAGAGUUACUCUGAACCUAUAAUUGGUUGGAUAUGAGAUUUGUUUAGAUUAAAUUUUGGGUGGUGUUGUGAUUUGGGGAGCACGAAGGCUCCAGGAGUAGAGGAUAUUAAAUGGAUUCUUUUGAAGUGUAUGCAGGUAUUAUUAGGAAGGGUUGUCCAUUUUCAAGGGAGGUUAUGCCGAAUUUUUUUUUUUUUUGGUAAACUUUCCUUGGAGGUGGUCCCCGCAGGAUUUACUUCGGGUUUCAUGGUGAAAUUCGGGGUGGGUCCUGACAAUCGAUCAGCCGAAGAGCAGCAUAUGUAGUCAUGCAAAAUAAGGGUGAUCAGUAUCUUCAAAUUUAACAAUAGUAUAAGACAAUAUCGAUCCACACUUAGGAAAAUGAUACAUUAACUAAACUAACCUUCAAUUGGUAUGAUUUUCUUUCAAAAAAAAAGAAGUAUUGAUAAGAACAUGCAAAAGUGAUGCUUGUCAAGAAUGGAACCCUUCAUGCCCUUUUAGAACUGAAAGUGCAGGAUUUAUGCAUAGAUAAACUUGUCAAAUAUCAAUGACAAAAAUAAGAGUGUAAAGGAUCCCAAAUCCAUUGUUUUAUAACAAUGAGCUGCAAAUAUGAGAAAUUUUCAGAAAACAGGUAGUAAGAAAGAAAAAUUCACCAACAAUUGACCUUUCAAUAUUUUCAUGGGAAAAUUUUCAGAAUCAAAAUAGACAAACAAAGGAACAAUGUCCCAAAAUUACAAGCCGUUUGGAGUUCAAAUGCAUAGUCAAAUAGGGAUCCAAAGUGACUGAAAAUGC